UUCACGGUACUGUACUGCUCGGGCGGGUUCUACCUCUUGUGUGAGCCGGAUGCCCUUACUGGGUGUGUCGGGGAACCAGGACUUUUACCUUGACGAAAAUUAGACGUGUUCAAAGCAGGCCUUUGCCCGGAAUACAUUAGCAUGGAUAAUAAAAUAGGGACGUGGGCCUA
rnacentral:rRNA from 1 species